GAAUUUAAAGAGACCAAGGCCAGUGGGAAGUCAUCAGGGUAUCCUAGCUAUUAAUACCCUUCUCCUUCUGUCUUGCUUCUAAUGAGGAAACUGAAGGCCCAAGAAGAUGAAGACCAAGGUCACUCAAGAAUCAGAAUUUCUGAAUCAGAAGGGAACUCAGUGGUCAUCCAAGUCCAAUCCAUAAAGAAAUGGCUUUUACAAUAUCUCUAAAAGGCCAAGACAGAUAAAUGACUUGCCUUUAAUAAUAAGAAGCAGAGCUAUGAUUGCAUCAAAAAUCCACCA